rnacentral:tRNA from 2 species
GGAAGUGUGCCCGAACAGUACAAGGACUACUUUGAUAGAGUACACCACGAAGGUUAAAAUCCUCCCACUUCCU